CCUACGGGAGGCAGCAGUGGGGAAUUUUGGACAAUGGGCGAAAGCCUGAUCCAGCAAUGCCGCGUGAGUGAAGAAGGCCUUCGGGUUGUAAAGCUCUUUUGUCAGGGAAGAAACGGUGAGGGCUAAUAUCCCUUGCUAAUGACGGUACCUGAAGAAUAAGCACCGGCUAACUACGUGCCAGCAGCCGCGGUAAUACGUAGGGUGCAAGCGUUAAUCGGAAUUACUGGGCGUAAAGCGUGCGCAGGCGGUUUUGUAAGUCUGUCGUGAAAUCCCCGGGCUCAACCUGGGAAUUGCGAUGGAGACUGCAAGGCUAGAAUCUGGCAGAGGGGGGUAGAAUUCCACGUGUAGCAGUGAAAUGCGUAGAGAUGUGGAGGAACACCGAUGGCGAAGGCAGCCCCCUGGGUCAAGAUUGACGCUCAUGCACGAAAGCGUGGGGAGCAAACAGGAUUAGAUACCCUGGUAGUCCACGCCCUAAACGAUGUCUACUAGUUGUCGGGUUUUAAUUAACUUGGUAACGCAGCUAACGCGUGAAGUAGACCGCCUGGGGAGUACGGUCGCAAGAUUAAAACUCAAAUGAAUUGACGGCNGAGAGNGACGAGACGACGACGAGGAGAGG
rnacentral:rRNA from 1 species